CACGGAACGCUGCGGCAGGCUUAACACAUGCAAGUCGAGCGGAGAGAGGUAGCUUGCUACUGAUCUUAGCGGCGGACGGGUGAGUAAUGCUUAGGAAUCUGCCUAUUAGUGGGGGACAACAUUUCGAAAGGAAUGCUAAUACCGCAUACGUCCUACGGGAGAAAGCAGGGGAUCUUCGGACCUUGCGCUAAUAGAUGAGCCUAAGUCGGAUUAGCUAGUUGGUGGGGGUAAAGGCCUACCAAGGCGACGAUCUGUAGCGGUCUGAGAGGAUGAUCCGCACACUGGGACUGAGACACGGCCCAGACUCCUACGGGAGGCAGCAGGUGGGGAAUAUUGGACAAUGGCCCAAGCCUGACCACCAUGCCGCGUGUGUGAAGAAGCCUUAUGUUGUAAACCUUUAAGCGAGGAGGGGCUACUUAGUUAAUACCUAAAGAAAGGGACGUUCUCCCAAAAGAAGCCCCGGUUAAUUUUGGCCACCGGCCGGGUAAUACAAAGGGGGCAAGCGUAUUCGAAUUUACUGGCAUAAAGCGCCCUAGGCCGCUUAAUUAAGCUAAAUAGUAAACCCCCGGCUUUAAUUAGGAAAUGCCUUCCAAGCUGGUUAUCUGAAAGGGAGGAAAAAGUAGGAAAAAAUCCAAGGGGGGCGGGGAAAACCCGUAAAAAUUUUAGGGGGAAACCCCGGGGGGGAAAGGGGGGCUUUUUGGGCCCAAAAAUUAACCCUUGAGGGGCGAAAAACUUUGGGGGGACCAAAAAAGGCAAAAAAAUACCCGUGGGGGGCCCCCCGCCCGAAAAAAAUAUUUUUAAAAGCCCCGGGGGGGCCUUUUAGGGGAUUUUAAGGGGACCCCCCCCCCCCCCAAAAAAAACAACCCCCUUGGCGG
rnacentral:rRNA from 1 species